CCAAGCCACGCCCCCUGCCCUGCAGCACAGUUACGCCUGGGCGGGGAUUUGACAGCAACUUUCAGUCAUCGCACUACAGAUGGUAGUGUGCCCUUUCGGCUCUUCAGCCCAGCACGCACACUGAAAGUCUGACUGUGAAAGGGCAGCCACUGCCAACUAUGAAGAAAGCCCUUAUCAGAAAGUGACCAUGCCAGCACCCUGAUCUUGGACUUCCAGCCUCCAGAACUAAAGUCCAAAACCCCUGGUGAAAGUUUCAAUUAUCUAGAGGUGUACAUCUGAACCAACCAGAAGAUCCCCAUUUUUUCUACGGUAGGAAAUACGCAGCUGCUCAAGUACUACUAGACAUGACAUAUUCGACUUUCACCCACCCACCUUUGAACCUUCAAAACACGUUUGCUAAAAAGAAUGUGUUUUUAAGUCCCCCCCCCUUUUUGCACUCACUCCCUGAAGUAGGAGAAAUAUUAGGAAAUUUACUCUUCCACUCAACAGCUCUCACAUGAGCCUUCAAGAAGCUACGCUUAUGAGAGAAGCAUGAACCCAGCGGAGGAGAGCUCCGGAGGGGUCACCGCGUAUGACAGUCAACUUUAUAUAUUCACACUUCAGGCAUCUUAUUCAAACCAACUGCAGAAGCCUGACUUGUUCUUUCGAAAACAUUACGCUGACUUCAAUUUAGACAUUUCUAUUUUGGUGCAGCUAGACUACACAGGAGUGUGUUCCUCUACCAUUUAGUAAUUUAGAUACUUUCAAUAUUAUUGCUAACUGACUCUUGAGGUAUAAGAGCCUUAAUUAUGUUGGUUUAAUAUUUUGUGCUUAAAUAUUGUUAUUUGUAAACUAACAGUGGGAAACACUACAACUUCCCCACGUUCCUUUCUUAUUUCACUGUUACAAUAAAAUAUGCUAUUGUUGAUUGACUGUUGAGUUUUAUUAAUAAUAUGAAUAAUAUUAAGAUCAUGAUGAAAAUAUUUGUACUUUCAUUACAUAUUAAAAGAGUGAGAAAUCUUUAAAGACCUCCUUUCUCAACCACAUUUUUUUUUUUUACUAAUUUGAACCUUUAACUUUAGUAACCACAGAGACAAGAAUUGGUGUUUAAUAUUGUA